rnacentral:tRNA from 1 species
GGCGCGCUGGGCAAAGCGGGGGUCGCGCGUCUCCUGUGCGAGUGCGAGGUAGGUGCGGUACGCCGGUUCGACCAGCCCGCGCUGC